CCUACGCUCUUUCUCUUCUCCAAUCUUCUCUGCCGAAACUCCUCCGAAGUUGUUCUUUGCUCUACCGAAGCCGCAGAUCGAAGGUAGAAGACGUCGAAUAUCCACCGCCUCCAUCAGAGCUCCUCAGAUCCCGUCGUCUCUUCGUCAGAACUCCGUAGAUCCGCCUCCCCUCUUCAUCUUCUUCGAUCUCUUCAUCUUCUCCGAUCUGCAGGUACGUACCAUGCCACCAAGAAAACUCAUUAAGACAUUCAAGGGGCUCAUUUCACAGGUUGACGACCUUACCACCCGGUCUUCAGGGAGUCGGGGGAGCAUUCAAGGGAGCCGAUAGGGGACCAUGUGUUCAAUCUGGUCUCAAUAGCUUCUGCCCCACCAAGACACCAAACAUAGGAUAAUGAACUUGAGAAAUUCAUUGAGAGUACAUAUGCGGAGCCUGAGCUGUAGUAGCAAGAGAAUCCAAAGACUGAGCAGGAGCAGCGUGAGGACGAGAAUGAUCAUUCCACUCUAGACACUAGUAGUACCGGUUCUUCCUCCACACGGAGAUGAGGUUGUAACCAAAAUAUCGAGCUUUCAAGAAGGCCCUAUGGAUCGAGGGUUCCACAUAGAUUUCGAGAUAUAGAUGGGAGGUCAGAUGGUGAUGCUAGAUGCAUGUGGUCUAGACAUGUGGGUCGAUGGUGCGGGACCCCGCACUCAUCUCACAUCGCCAUCUUAAAUGGAAGGCCUUGAGUACCGAUCAACUAGAUUUACUAUGGCGUGUCAUGACGGAUCCAUUCGAAAGCACAGAUAUCCCUUUAGACAUGUAUAGACAGACCGAGAUUGCACACGCCAAAAAAAUAUGGGAAAGGUGGCGCUCCGAUUUGAGUCGGGAUUAUGUGCGGAUUCAUAACGGAGAUGAGGCAACUGUACUUGCGCGUCCCCCACAAUUCUAUGAUCACGCAGAUUGGGAGUUCCACUAUAAAAAACAAUAUUUCACGAAGAGUUUCAAGGUACAUAAAAUUUCAGAAUAGAAAUAUGUAGGGAUGACGGUUUCAACUAUAAUUUUAUUUUAAAUGUAGAAAAAAAAGUUCAAUCAAUAUUGGAAACCGAAAAAAAUGAGGUUUUCCCACCAUACGGGUUGUAAAGCAUUUUCACAAGUGGAAGAAGAACCGGUAUAUACAUUAUUCUAUUCGAUUAAACUUGCUGAUUAUAAAUGUAACUAAUUUACUGAUGAACAAUUUAUUUGAACAUGAGGCUAAACUCGGACGUCCACCGACUAUUAUAGAGAAGUUCAGAAAGACUCAAACCCCGAGAGUCACCAAAGACAACCCGACCCUAACGUCGGACCAACUGUCACAAGAGAAGAUCGGAAGUUAAAGUUUAAUUGAAAAUUUAAUAAAAUUAUAGCUUAAUUAUAUAAUGAUAUUUUAAAAUGUACAAGCGGAGAUGGAGCAAGUAAUUAGUGACACACCCGAUAUCUCCGACUUCGAGGUGACCGAGAGAGUCUUCGGGCCCCAACAAUACGGGACGGUGAUGGGUAUGGGUUCAGGCGUGCGGCCAUCGCGCUUUCACGGUGAUCGGCGGAGGAGCGGAAAUUCUCAACGUGGAGGGUCGUCGCUAAGGGAGGAGAACCAACAGCUCCGGGCGCGGGUCAUUGAACUCGAAGAGCUAGUUCAAGUUAAUAAAUAUAGAACACAACAACAGAUUGCAGAAAUAUUAGCAAGGUUAUAAAAUCAACCACCACCUCCGAGUUAGUACGUUUAUUAUGUAUUUUUUGGAUUAGUUUAUAGUGUUUAGACAAAUACAUGUUGUAUUAUGUUUUUGGAUU